AUUACCCAAUGCAUGGCUGGGCAAGGCUCCUCCCGGGUCCCUUCCUGUAUGUAUAGUCCUGGAUCCCACAACUCCCACAGAGGCACUUUUAUUUGUGGAUGGAUGACAGAGUUUUGUUGUUUAAGGGAGAGGAACAAAAAUGAAGGAUGUCUUAUGCUAUUAUAAUUUUGACAUCACUCCUCCAACAGGAUUCUAACUGGGAAAUAGUAUGGGUAUUUCUUGACUUGGGAGGUGGUUACAUUGGUGUUCGCAAUAUACCUUUUAAAAAACUGUACGUGUUUUAUGCAUUUAUACUAUAUUACAAAAAUUUUAAAAGAAUAAAGAGGGUAUGCCCAUGGACCCUAAUCUAAAAGAGGUAAGAAAAUAAUUUUUAAAAAACAGUUAAUAAAAAACAGUUUCAGACUCCAAGAACUUCAGUAAUUCUAAAUUACUGAACAUAUUAGUAUGGACUGGAGAAAUACAGGAAACUUGAGGAAAAUAAUGGUGCUUGAGCUGGAAUGGCAAUAUCCGCAAAUUGGGCAAAACAAUGCAUAUUUGGUCUUGUGAUGGUUGUAAAAUAUGCCCCCAAAUUCUUUGAGAUUCUUCUUUUCGAAAAGUGGAGCCUAAUUCUUCUCACCUUGAAUAUGGGCUGGACAUAGACUUGCUUCUAAUGAACAUGAUAAAGUGGAAGUGACAUGUGACUUCAGAUACUACAUCAUAAAAGGCAUUAUGAUUUCUUCCUUUUUCUCUCUUUUGGAUUGUUUGCCAAGGGGGAAGACAGCUUCCAUGUCAUUAGGAUACUUUUGCUUCUCUGUGAAGAGGCUACGUGGCACUGAACUGAGGUGUGGCCACAACCCACUAGGAACUUAGGUCUCCUGCCAACAGCCAUGUGGGUGGGCUUGGAAGUGGAUUGUCCAGCUCCCAUCAAAUCUUCACAUCACAUCUUAAUUAUAACUUCAUGAGAGAACUUGAACCAGAAUCACCCAGGAGUCAAGAUGGCAGAGGAGGAGGAGGAGGACGUGGAGUUUAUCUCUCCCCACAAACGCAUCAAGAACACAUCUAUGAAUGGAACAGUUCUCACAGAGCACCUGCUGAACACUAGCAGAGGACCUCGGACACCUAAAAGGACAAGAAAGAUCCCCAUGUAACCGGGCUGCCUUCUGCUGAGUUGCUAAGAGAUGCCUCAGUUCAACUGUGGAAUUUCGAUUACUGUCUUCCAUCUCUCUUAACUGAACUUCAAACCCAUGUUCCUUUAUUGAAAAUUCAUGCUCCAUCGUACUG